AGGAGAUAGAGAGAGAAGAGAGUAAGAAGGGUUAUGAAGAGGUUUAGAGAAGAAGAGCAAGAAGGUGAAAGAAACCAUAGUUAGAUUUCAAGUGACGAUUGAAUGAGUAAAGAUUCCAACUAGCUUAAGGUAUGAGAGUAGUAUUGUAAUUUAGAGUGAAUAAUAGAAAGAAGACAAAUCCUAUUUCUCCAUCUAAAUCUUUCUACACUCUUUAUUUGGGUUUUGGGAUUUAUUCAUGAAAAUGAAACCUUUUUAUUGAAUGACGUUUAUGUGUUACUCCUAACUAAUUGGAAGUAUGAAUUGAUAGGGUAAAAAUUGGGAUUUUUUUAGUGAUUGUUGACAUUUAUGUUCAUUUUGUGUUUUUAUGAAAUAAAUGAAGAAUAAUGAUGAUUAUAUGUGUUAUGAUGUUGAUUCCUGAUGAUUGUUGUACUUCUAUGUUUGUAGUAUUGUUAUAUGCCUAAAGUUAUAACCUUUAUGUGUUUUAAACUUGGAAUUGCUGAAAUUUGGGACUCUCUAAACGAGAACUCCAGCGACGCCUUUGUUCUUGAACUUCACUAAGAACACAUUGAGUGCUCUCCUAGUGAGGGUUUGUCUCGCCUAUCGAGGGCAGCUCGCCAAUUCUCGCUAGAACUUGCUGAUGUUCGUCUAGACCCUGAAACUUUCCGGCUUGUCUGGCCUUGAGUUCGCUGAUGCUCGCUAAGCGAGAGAAGCUGACGAGAUCUUUGUUAUUUUGAAUUCUAUGAUGAAGGUGUGUUAAUAACAUAUUUAAUCACACACUAGAUGGUGAUUAAUGAUGUCUAUGAUUUAUGAUAUGAUGAUGUAUGUUAUGAAUGAUAACUUGAAUAUAUGAUCAGAGACGAAUCCGGACAUAAAAGUCUAGUGUGGCCAAAAUCUUAAAGAAACAGUGAACUAAAUUAUACUGAAAAUAAAAUAUAAUAUUGUUAAGUGUAAUACAUUUACAAUGAAAAUCGUCUACUAUCCAUUUCUUGAAAAUGAGCUAAAAUAAUAUCAUUGUCAUUUGUACCAAAAACAUAUCUUUUUAUAUAGGUUACAAGAUGGUCAUUUAACCACUGAUCACUCAUUUUGUUACAUAGUUGACCCUUCACUAAAUUCAUAGCUGAAAAAUCACAUAAAAAGGAUGAUAAAGGACUCAAACAUGAAACACAAUGUAAAAAUUCAGUACACUCUUCAUCAGACCUAGCAUUGAGUUCAUACAACUAUAAAUCUAAAGCACUAAACAAACAAUCAUACUUAUAAUGAUGCAAUUUAGAAACACUAGAAGUUGUAGACCGCUUAGGUUUCUUCCGUUGCACAUACGGUGUAUCCAUAUCAGACACAUCAAUAUCAUGUUUAUUGCAAAUUUUCAUAAGCUUUGAUAUAAAUUCUUCCCAUCCAUCAUCCCCCAUUUCUUGUAAUUCUUGUUUGGUAGAUUGAUAAGUGACAAAGCAUUGAUAAGAUCUUGAUCACGCUUUUCUAGUGAUACACUCAAAUCAUUUGUAAAUCAUAAAAUUUCAACCAACAUAUAUAACAUGAAGAUAAAAUCAAAGAAUUGAAGCAAAUUUAGCAAAAUUGUAGUUUCACCAUAUUUGUCAAAUGUCGGAUCCUCCCCCACUUCUUCAAGUACCCCAACAAUGGCACCAUACGUAGUCAUCAAACUAGUGAGAGUCCUAAAGUGGGAACCCUAACAAAUGUCACUCGCUCUAGCUAUAGACGAUUCUUGAUUUAAUCCACUACCAGUCUCUAUCUCGCCCUCUUCAAUCAAUUUAGCAAAUUGACUUACUUGUUGGUCCCGAAGCAAUUCUUAUCUCUUGUUAGAAGCUCGUAUGAAAUUAACAAGAAAUCUUGUCUCAAGCCAUUAAUAGACAACAUCUUCCCAAAUGCCUCCUUAAGUGACUUAGCACUUGUUCUCUUUAACACUUACAAUGCCAAGAAAUUUUUCUUUUAACAAACCUUCACUAUUAACCACUACAAGAAAAUUGUUACUUUGCGACACUUCGGUUGCGAUUGUUUGAAGAGAAUUUUUUAGACAUAGUUAAUUGGGUUUUCUCUGGUGCAUUGUAGCCUUUCCCAUCUCUUUUAUUAGUUUUGUUUUAUUUUAUUUUUUGAUGUUGUACGUUCAAUUUGGAUUUGCUCUGGUUCAUUGUAGACAUAGUUAAUUUUUUUUCCAUUUUUUCUUUCAUGGCAGAGUUCAGAACAAGCAUUGGCAGUUAGAUGUGCAUUUUAUAAUUGUAGGUUCUGUUGAUGGUAGGUACCUUUACACUCUUGACUUAUUAGUUUAUAAGUUAGAUAUGCUUCUUAAAUUAUGUUAUAUGGUUAUGUAUUCUUGUUGAAUUGCUAAGAAGAAGUUGUUGGCUCUCAAUGAGUUCAUUUGUUUUGGAGACUCUAAUAAUACAUUAAUUAAAUGAAUUCUAUGUUGGAUGAUAUCUUAAGCCUUGUUUGGAUAAAUAACUAAUUAAGCUCUGUAGCAUAAUCGCUUAUUACAAAGUGAUUAGAUACAUGGUAAAAGAAAGUAGCAUUUACCAGUUCCAUAUUUGUGUAAGUUAUUGUCUCCAUUUUCUCUCUACUCUAGACUGAUGUUUUUACCUAAUUGUAUAUGUUCUUGCAUCCUGGUAUGAUUAUUAUAUAUACUUGAUUUUAUAAUAUUUAGAUUUGACUCACCUGGCUUAGUUUAUGCACAUUUGCAUCUUGCUACUGUUUCGUUAAGACGGGUAACUGGUGGAACCAAAAACUACUUUAUUGAUAAUGAUAAUGCAUGUUUCCUUGUGGAUAAAUUUUUAUUGGUUACUGCAUUGGACAAACAUACUGAACAUGGAUUUUAUUUUACGUUUCACAACUGAAAUGAACAUUAGACAAACAUACUGAACAUGAAUUUGUAUUUGAUCAAAUAGAAAAGCUGUUAAUAAAUUUUGCAGGUUUGAAGUCCAGAUCUUGGAGAUAUGUUCUCUAGUAUGCAUGGACAAAAAGGUGUUUUAAGAUUUCUUGAGGUUCGGGAAAAUUUUCCUUUCACAAAACAAGGUAACUGAAUAAAACAAGUCAAGAGAUGGUAGUCUUGAGUCUUGAGUCUAGAGCUAACAUUAAUUAAGGAUCAUGAAGCAACAUCACAUACUAUAGAGAAUAUUUAGAUAUUUUGUGAACUUCUUAUUUUAACAUAAUUCUUUGUAUAUGUUUAGUCCCUCAACUAAUAUUUAUAUUUUUUAAUAUUUAAACUACAUUAGUUUUUUUUCUUUUGAGGUUUCAAGUACUUUUAUUAAAUUUUUGAUGUAUGGAUGUUGUCACUAUUUGAAUGAAUUAUAUGAAUGAGAUUAAGUAAUUUAUAUUUA